rnacentral:lncRNA from 10 species
GCCAUAAUCAACAAAUCUGUUCCUCCUCCAUUUUCUGAAGACAAAAGGGUUCCAGAGGAAAAGUCCUAAGUAUGUGCUUUUGAAGAAGAGGAUGAUAAAUUGUGACUACCUAUGUUGCCAUAAGAUGUGAAAAGAUGUGAAAAGAAGCUGUGGCUCACGCUGAUAGCCAGGCAAAGAGACAGCUUGCACACAUGUACACACAUACACCCAUGCAUUCUGCAACAGGUAAAGUCUAACAUAAAAUACUAAAUAUAAAAACAAAUUAAUCUCUGAAAGAGACAGUGCAUGGGAAGGAGAUGAUUCCCGAUGGACUAACAUUGCAGCCGUCUCUGGUAAGACUAAUAACAAUGUUGAGAAGAUGGAACCUUUUUACACUGUUGGUGGGAAUAUAAAUUAGUAUAGCCAUUAUAGAAAACCGUAUGGAAGUUCCUCACAAACUGCAAUUAGAAUUACCAUGUUAUCCAGAAAUCCCACUUCUGGGUAUUUAUCCAAAAGGUUUGAAAUCAGUAUGUCUGCACUCCUAUCUUCAUUGCAACAUUAUUCACAAUACCCAAGUUAUGGAAUCAACCUAAGUGUCCAUCAAUAGAUGAAUGGAUAAAGAAAAUGUGGCAUGUAUUCAGAAUGAAAUACUAUUCAGCCCUUAAAAAGAAGGAAAUUCUGUCAUUUGCAACAUUGUGGGUGGAAUUGGAGAACAUUAUGCUAAGUAAAAUAAGCCAGGCACAGAAAAACAAAUACUGAAUAUUUUCAUUCAUAGGUGGAAUCUAAAACAAUCAAACUCAUAGAAGCAAAGGGUAGCAUGAUGGUUACAGAGCCUGGGGGGUGGAGAGAAUGAGAAAAUGUUGAGACCAGGCGCGGUGGCUCACGCCUGUAAUCACAGCACUUUAGGAGGCCAAGGCAGGUGGAUCACUUGAGGCCAGGAGAUCGAGACCAGCCUGGCCAACAUGGUAAAACCCCGUCUCUACUAAAAAUACAAAAAUUAGCCAGGUGUGGUAGUGUGUGCCUGAGAUCCCAGCUACUCUGGAGGUUGAGGCAGGGGAAUCGCUUGAACCUGGGAGCCAGAGGUUGCAGUGAUCUAAGAUCGUGCCACUGCACUCCAGCCUGGGUGACAGAGCAAGACUCUGUAUCAAAAAAAAAAAAAGAAAAGAAAGUGCUUGACAAAGGGUACAAAAUCUCAGUUAGACAGGAGGAAUAAGUGUUUUCUUUAAUUGAUUGCAUAGCAUGGUUAAUAUAAUUAAUAAUAAUGUAUUGCACAUUUUGAAAUUACGACAAGAGUAAAUUUCAAAUGUUUUCAUCCCAAAAAAUGAUAAGCAUUUGAGCUGAUAGAUAUGUUAAUUAACUUAACUUAAUUAUUCCACAUUGUAUUCAUAAGUCAUAACAUCACUUUGUACCCCAUAAAUAUAUACAAUUAUAAAUUGUCAAUUUAUAAUAAAAGAACAAAGAAAAAAGACUAAUGACAAAUGGGAACAGUACUCUUCAGUAGAAAAGUACUUGUGAGACUCUUUUAAAAAACUUUCAAUUAUAUUAAAUAAUAAAAAUGUAUGGUUCUUUUUUUUAACGAUUUACUGUAAUUACCUGUGACUUCACCCAUUGAAUCACAAAUUAAGGUGCAAAAAUAUUAACAGCAACCAAUUAUUUUGUGUCAAGCACUCUGUUUAUGACUUUAUAUAGAGUGUCUCACUUAGUUCUUAAAACAGUCCUGAGUUAGUCACUAUUGUUAGC